ACGGGGGUUGCGAGCGUUGUCCGGAAUUACUAGGCGUAAAGGGCAGGCAGGCGGAUUUAUAAGUUUUCUGUUUAAGGCAACGGCUCACCCGUUGUAAGGCAGGGGAUACUGUAGAUCUGGAAUGAGAUUGGGGAAAACAGAAUUCCUGGUGUAGCGGUGGAAUGCGCAUAUAUCAGGAAGAACACCGAAAGCGAAGGCAGCCUUCCGAUUCAUAAUUGACUCUGAACUGCGAAAGUGUUGGUAUCAAACAG
rnacentral:rRNA from 1 species